AAUAUGACAGAUUUAUUCAUGAAUAUGAAACUAAGUUGUAUGAGUUAUACACUCACUUAUAUAAUUUUUAUAGUUAAUAGAUCUUCCCCUUACUAAGUGAAAGGAGUAUUUGUUUCUCCAUGGGGUGGGAACUCUUUGUACCAUACUGGUACUUUAAUAGAUGGUCUAAUUGAUAUCAACCCAAUUAAUUUACCAGGUCUACCACGUGUUCUAAAUUGGUUAGACAUUAUACCCAUUUGAAUUGCCUUCACUCCUGAGUCUCUGAGUGUCAGGUUCUAGCUGCUGACCGACGAGGUUCCUUAUGCUUGCGAACCAGUUAGAUUCUAUACACAUAUGAAUCUUCCCCAUAUUCGAAUAUCUGAAUGUCAGACUCAAGCUGAUGAUAUAUGAGGUAUGAUCCUCGCUGUAUCAAUCAAGUCCCAUUGAAAUAUUGAAACGUUGUUCAUACAUCUUUGAAUGACCUUUUAUGUGCUGACAAUAUGUUCUGAAAUGAAGAGAUUUUACCCCUGAUGAAGUCUUGGAACAAGACGAAACGCGUUGGUUUAUUUAUCUAUCUAUUAUCUGAUGUUACCUCCGAAUCUACAAUAAGGAGAAGGAGGAAAUCGUAGUGAUAUAUCUACGCUUUUUCCUCAUCACUACAAACUGAUUGUUCAAAUUGUGCGACAAAUGUAAAUGUAUCAACUCUGUAUACUUAUGAACAUUUGUGUCGGGUUUAUAUGUUGUUUUAAUAAAUUUUUAUGUUAGUA